rnacentral:rRNA from 1 species
AUUGAACGCUGGCGGCAGGCCUAACACAUGCAAGUCGAGCGAGCGGCGGACGGGUGAGUAAUGUAUGGGGAUCUGCCUGAUGGAGGGGGAUAACUACUGGAAACGGUAGCUAAUACCGCAUACCAUCAGAUGAACCCAUAUGGGAUUAGCUUGUUGGUAAGGUAACGGCUUACCUAGGCGACGAUCCCUAGCUGGUCUGAGAGGAUGAUCAGCCACACUGGAACUGAGACACGGUCCAGACUCCUACGGGAGGCAGCAGUGGGGAAUAUUGCACAAUGGGCGCAAGCCUGAUGCAGCCAUGCCGCGUGUAUGAAGAAGGCCUUCGGGUUGUAAAGUACUUUCAGUGGGGAGGCGUUACCGGCAGAAGAAGCACCGGCUAACUCCGUGCCAGCAGCCGCGGUAAUAC